rnacentral:rRNA from 1 species
CCCGCUGAACUUAAGCAUAUCAAUAAGCGGAGGAAAAGAAACUAACAAGGAUUCCCCUAGUAACUGCGAGUGAAGCGGGAAGAGCUCAAAUUUAAAAUCUGGCGUGCCUCUGGUCGCCCGAGUUGUAGUCUGGAGAAGUGUUUUCCGUGUUGGACCGUGUACAAGUCCCUUGGAACAGGGCGUCAUAGAGGGUGAGAAUCCCGUCUUUUACACGGACUACCAAUGCUUUGUGAUGCGCUCUCAAAGAGUCGAGUUGUUUGGGAAUGCAGCUCAAAAUGGGUGGUAAAUUCCAUCUAAAGCUAAAUAUAGGCGAGAGACCGAUAGCGAACAAGUACCGUGAGGGAAAGAUGAAAAGCACUUUGGAAAGAGAGUUAAACAGUACGUGAAAUUGCUGAAAGGGAAACGCUUGAAGUCAGUCGCAUCUGCUAGGGAUCAAGUUGCCUCUGGGUGACCGUACUUUCUAGUGGAUGGGUCAGCAUCAAUUUUGACCGUUGGAUAAAGGCCUGGGGAAUGUGGCAUCUUCGGAUGUGUUAUAGACCUUGGUUGGAUACAAUGGUUGGGAUUGAGGAACUCAGUGUGCCAUUAGGUUGGGGCUUCGGCUCACACUACACACUUAGGAUGCUGGCAUAAUGGCUUUAAUCGACCCGUCUUGAAACACGG